rnacentral:rRNA from 1 species
AGUGAACGCUGGCGGUAGGCCUAACACAUGCAAGUCGAACGGCAGCACAGUAAGAGCUUGCUCUUACGGGUGGCGAGUGGCGGGCGGGUGAGGAAUACAUCGGAAUCUACUUUUUCGUGGGGGAUAACGUAGGGAAACUUACGCUAAUACCGCAUACGACCUACUGGUGAAAGCAGGGGAUCUUCUGACCUUGUGCGAUUGAAUGAGCCGAUGUCGGAUUAGCUAGUUGGCGGGGUAAAGGCCCACCAAGGCGACGAUCCGUAGCUGGUCUGAGAGGAUGAUCAGCCACACUGGAACUGAGAAACAGCACAGACUCCUACGGGAGGCAGCAGUGGGGAAUAUUGGACAAUGGGCGCAAGCCUGAUCCAGCCAUACCGCGUGGGUGAAGAAGGCCUUAGGGUUGUAAAGCCCUUUUGUUGGGAAAGAAAAGCAGCAGGUUAAUACGCCGCUGUUCUGACGGUACCCAAAGAAUAAGCACCGGCUAACUUCGUG